rnacentral:rRNA from 1 species
AUUGAACGCUGGCGGCAGGCUUAACACAUGCAAGUCGAGCGAGCGGCGGACGGGUGGGUAAUGUCUGGGAAACUGCCUGAUGGAGGGGGAUCACUACUGGAAACGAUAGCUACUACCGCAUACCAUCGGAUGUGCCCAGAUGGGAUUAGCUAGUGGGUGGGGUAAUGGCGCACCUAGGCGCCGAUCCCUAGCUGGUCUGAGAGGAUGAUCAGCCACACUGGAACUGAGACACGGUCCAGACUCCUACGGGAGGCAGCAGUGGGGAAUAUUGCACAAUGGGCGAAAGCCUGAUGCAGCCAUGCCGCGUGUGUGAAGAAGGCCUUCGGGUUGUAAAGCACUUUCAGUGAGGAGGCGUUACUCGCAGAAGAAGCACCGGCUAACUCCGUGCCAGCCGCCGCGGUAAUUC